GUACCUUUUAAGUUGAAGUCCUGUGAGGCUUCCAAGGGUUUACACGUUGAAUAAAGGUAAUGUUUUAGACUAGCCUCUGACUAGCGUAAAAUAGCCAACAGUCAACCUCGUGAAUUCUUGAAUUCACGAGGUUUUUUUGAU
rfam:Weissella halotolerans DSM 20190 Scaffold5, whole genome shotgun sequence.